AGAGUACUCCCUCCGUCCGGAAAUACUUGUCACACAAAUAGAUAAAAUUGGAUGUAUCUACAACUAAUAUAUGUCUAGAUACAUCCAUCUUUCCGACAAGUAUUUUCGGACAGAGGGAGUACUAU
rnacentral:pre_miRNA from 1 species